rnacentral:piRNA from 1 species
UAGGAGCCCAUCCAGACCAUAACGGUUGG